UACGGAGGGUGCAAGCAUUAAUCGGAUUUAUUGGGCGUAAAGGGCGUGUAGGCUGAGAUGAAAGUCGGAUGUUAAAGACCGGAGCUCAACUCCGGGAAAGCAUUUGAAACUCCAUUUCUAGAGGAUAGGCGGAGAAAACGGAAUUCCACAAGUAGCGGUGAAAUGCGUAGAUAUGUGGAGGAACACCCGUGGCGAAAGCGGUUUUCUAGCUUAUACCUGACGCUGAGGCGCGAAAGCAAGGGGAGCAAACAGG
rnacentral:misc_RNA from 1 species